UAGAGUGAUCGAAAGAUGAAAAGCACUUUGGAAAGAGAGUUAAAAAGCACGUGAAAUUGUUGAAAGGGAAGGGCAUGCAACCAGACUUGUUAGCGGUGUUCCGCUGGUCUUUUGACCGGUCUACUCGCCGCUGACAGGCCAGCAUCACCUGGGUGCGCUGGAUAAAGGCAUGGGGAAUGUAGCUCCUCGGAGUGUUAUAGCCCUGCGCACAAUACAGCGUCGCCCGGGUGAGGUCCGCGCUUCGGCUAGGAUGCUGGCGUAAUGGUUGUCUGCCGCCCGUCUUGAAACACGGACCAAGGAGUCUAACAUCUAUGCGAGUGUUCGGGUGUCAAACCCCUACGCGUAAUGAAAGUGAACGGAGGUGGGAGCUUCGGCGCACCAUCGACCGAUCCUGAUGUCCUCGGAUGGAUUUGAGUAAGAGCAUAGCUGUUGGGACCCGAAAGAUGGUGAACUAUGCCUGAAUAGGGUGAAGCCAGAGGAAACUCUGGUGGAGGCUCGCAGCGGUUCUGACGUGCAAAUCGAUCGUCAAAUUUGGGUAUA
rnacentral:rRNA from 2 species